rnacentral:rRNA from 1 species
AGAUGAUGUCGAGUGGCGGACGGGUGAGUAAUGCCUGGGAAUUUGCCUUAGUGUGGGGGAUAACUAUUGGAAACGAUAGCUAAUACCGCAUAAUACCUACGGGUCAAAGGGGGCUUCGGCUCCCGCGCUAAGAGAAGCCCAGGUGAGAUUAGCUAGUUGGUGAGGUAAAGGCUCACCAAGGCGACGAUCUCUAGCUGUUCUGAGAGGAAGAUCAGCCACACUGGAACUGAGACACGGUCCAGACUCCUACGGGAGGCAGCAGUGGGGAAUAUUGCACAAUGGGGGAAACCCUGAUGCAGCCAUGCCGCGUGUGUGAAGAAGGCCUUCGGGUUGUAAAGCACUUUCAGUUGUGAGGAAAGGUUGAUGGUUAAUACCCAUCAGCUGUGACGUUAGCAACAGAAGAAGCACCGGCUAACUCCGUGCCAGCAGCCGCGGUAAUACGGAGGGUGCAAGCGUUAAUCGGAAUUACUGGGCGUAAAGCGCACGCAGGCGGUCUGUUAAGCUAGAUGUGAAAGCCCCGCGCUCAACGUGGGAUGGUCAUUUAGAACUGGCAGACUAGAGUUUUGGAGAGGAGAGUGGAAUUUCUGGUGUAGCGGUGAAAUGCGUAGAUAUCAGAAGGAACAUCAGUGGCGAAGGCGACUCUCUGGUCAAUAACUGACGCUCAUGUGCGAAAGUGUGGGUAGCGAACAGGAUUAGAUACU